AUGAUUACUUUGACCAGUAGCUCAUCUAUCACAAUAGCACACUUUCUUUAUUAUGAUUUUUCUUCCUAUUAAUGUUCCUUUCUACUGUGUGAACUUUUAAUAUGAUUACUUUUGACUUCGCAAACUUCGCUGUGAUCGCUUUUUAGAGAAGAAGCAGGGAGUUCUUAAAUUUCACUAGCGAGUGUGAAAGUAUGUGGAUCUCAAAGUAAUGGUUUUUAAAUUUAUCUGAAACUCUAAACUUAAGUGUUAAGAAGUAGAAAAAAUUACAGCUAUAAACCAGGUGGAAUGGAAGACAAGAAUCCAUAUAGCCGACUUUAAUUGGCUAGGGAUUAAGGCUUAGUUGAGUUCUCAUGCAAAUUAGAUGUUGCUCUAUUUUUAGGAAGGUCAAAGAACACUAGACAAAAUGGCCAACAAAGUGGUCAAACAUACAUUAUCUAAAAGGAAAAAUUAGAAUAACAGUUGCAUUGUCGAGGAUUAAGGUUUGGUUGACUUUAGUUGCAUUGACUCUAGUUCUUCUAAACGUAGUUAUCUUAACUAAUUGUGAUUCAAUGUCCUAUAGGUGAGUCUUCUGACUGAAAGUGGA
rnacentral:misc_RNA from 1 species